rnacentral:rRNA from 1 species
AUGAACGCUGGCGGCGUGCCUAAUACAUGCAAGUCGAGCGAACAGACGAGGAGCUUGCUCCUCUGACGUUAGCGGCGGACGGGUGAGUAACACGUGGAUAACCUACCUAUAAGACUGGGAUAACUUCGGGAAACCGGAGCUAAUACCGGAUAAUAUAUUGAACCGCAUGGUUCAAUAGUGAAAGACGGUUUUGCUGUCACUUAUAGAUGGAUCCGCGCCGCAUUAGCUAGUUGGUAAGGUAACGGCUUACCAAGGCAACGAUGCGUAGCCGACCUGAGAGGGUGAUCGGCCACACUGGAACUUAGACACGGUCCAGACUCCUACGGGAGGCAGCAGUAGGGAAUCUUCCGCAAUGGGCGAAAGCCUGACGGAGCAACGCCGCGUGAGUGAUGAAGGUCUUCGGAUCGUAAAACUCUGUUAUUAGGGAAGAACAAAUGUGUAAGUAACUAUGCACGUCUUGACGGUACCUAAUCAGAAAGCCACGGCUAACUACGUG